rnacentral:rRNA from 1 species
UACGUGGGGUGCAAACGUUGUCCGGAAUUAUUGGGCGUAAAGAGCUCGUAGGCGGUUUGUUGCGUCGGCUGUGAAAUCCCGAGGCUCAACCUCGGGUCUGCAGUCGAUACGAGCAAACUAGAGUGUUGCAGGGGAGACUGGAAUUCCUGGUGUAGCGGUGAAAUGCGCAGAUAUCAGGAGGAACACCGGUGGCGAAGGCGGGUCUCUGGGCAACAACUGACGCUGAGGAGCGAAAGCGUGGGGAGCGAACAGG